GGGUAGAGCACUGUUUCGGCUAGGGGGCCAUCCCGGCUUACCAACCCGAUGCAAACUGCGAAUACCGGAGAAUGUUAUCACGGGAGACACACGGCGGGUGCUAACGUCCGUCGUGAAGAGGGAAACAACCCAGACCGCCAGCUAAGGUCCCAAAGUCAUGGUUAAGUGGGAAACGAUGUGGGAAGGCCCAGACAGCCAGGAUGUUGGCUUAGAAGCAGCCAUCAUUUAAAGAAAGCGUAAUAGCUCACUGGUCGAGUCGGCCUGCGCGGAAGAUGUAACGGGGCUAAACCAUGCACCGAAGCUGCGGCAGCGAACGUAUCACUUAAAGCGAUUCAGCGGGUUACGAUUGACGGAGCGAAGCGACGUCAAAGCGUAUACAAAGUCGAGUCGGUUUAAGGAUACGUU
rnacentral:rRNA from 1 species